rnacentral:SRP_RNA from 2 species
CGUCGGUUCCUUCGCGACGCUAGCCUGCAAACUCCGCCAGGUCCGGAAGGAAGCAACGGUAGCAGGUGAUGCGGGUGCCGGAGAUCGGCUGGCGGAG